ensembl:snRNA U12 U12 minor spliceosomal RNA
AUGCCUUAAACUGAUGAGUAAGGAAAAUAACGACGCGGGGUGACGCCCGUGUCCUCGUUCAACUUACGAGAUCAAUUUUUGAAAGGGCUCAGGUCUGCCUGCUGAGGUGACUCGCCUACUUUGCGAGAUGCCUCGUGGGACUAGGACCUUGCCCG